UACGUAGGGUGCGAGCGUUGUCCGGAAUUACUGGGCGUAAAGAGCUCGUAGGUGGUUUGUCGCGUCGUCUGUGAAAUUCCGUGGCUUAACUCCGGGCGUGCAGGCGAUACGGGCAUACCUUGAGUACUGUAGGGGAGACUGGAAUUCCUGGUGUAGCGGUGAAAUGCGCAGAUAUCAGGAGAAACCCAGGUGGGGAAGGCGGGUCUCUGGCAGUAACUGACGCUGAGGCGCGAAAGCAUGGGUAGCGAACAGG
rnacentral:rRNA from 1 species